rnacentral:rRNA from 1 species
AGAGUUUGAUCCUGGCUCAGGACGAACGCUGGCGGCGUGCCUAAUACAUGCAAGUAGAACGCUGACUACUUUAGCUUGCUAGAGUAGAAGGAGUUGCGAACGGGUGAGUAACGCGUAGGUAACCUGCCUACUAGCGGGGGAUAACUAUUGGAAACGAUAGCUAAUACCGCAUAACAGUGUUUAACACAUGUUAGAUGCUUGAAAGAUGCAAUUGCAUCACUAGUAGAUGGACCUGCGUUGUAUUAGCUAGUUGGUGGGGUAACGGCCCACCAAGGCGACGAUACAUAGCCGACCUGAGAGGGUGAUCGGCCACACUGGGACUGAGACACGGCCCAGACUCCUACGGGAGGCAGCAGUAGGGAAUCUUCGGCAAUGGGGGCAACCCUGACCGAGCAACGCCGCGUGAGUGAAGAAGGUUUUCGGAUCGUAAAGCUCUGUUGUAAGAGAAGAACGUGUGUGAGAGUGGAAAGUUCACACAGUGACGGUAACUUACCAGAAAGGGACGGCUAACUACGUGCCAGCAGCCGCGGUAAUACGUAGGUCCCGAGCGUUGUCCGGAUUUAUUGGGCGUAAAGCGAGCGCAGGCGGUUUAAUAAGUCUGAAGUUAAAGGCAGUGGCUUAACCAUUGUUCGCUUUGGAAACUGUUAGACUUGAGUGCAGAAGGGGAGAGUGGAAUUCCAUGUGUAGCGGUGAAAUGCGUAGAUAUAUGGAGGAACACCGGUGGCGAAAGCGGCUCUCUGGUCUGUAACUGACGCUGAGGCUCGAAAGCGUGGGGAGCAAACAGGAUUAGAUACCCUGGUAGUCCACGCCGUAAACGAUGAGUGCUAGGUGUUAGGCCCUUUCCGGGGCUUAGUGCCGCAGCUAACGCAUUAAGCACUCCCCCUGGGGGAGUACGACCGCAAGGUUGGAACUCAAAGGAAUUGACGGGGGCCCGCACAAGCGGUGGAGCAUGUGGUUUAAUUUAGAAAGCAACGCGAAGAACCUUACCAGGUCUUGACAUCCCGAUGCUAUUCCUAGAGAUAGGAAGUUUUUUCGGAACAUCGGUGACAGAUGGUGCAUGGUUGUCGUCCGCUCGUGUCGU